GAUGAAGAACGUAGCGAAAUGCGAUAAGUAAUGUGAAUUGCAGAAUUCAGUGAAUCAUCGAAUCUUUGAACGCACAUUGCGCCCGCCAGCACUCUGGCGGGCAUGCCUGUUCGAGCGUCAUUUCAACCAUCAAGCCCCCAGGGGCUUGUGCUGGGGCCCUGCGGCUGCCCGCAGGCCCUGAAAACCAGUGGCGGGUUCGCUAGUCACACCGAGCGCAGUAGCACAUCUCGCUCAGGGCGUGCGGCGGGCUCCUGCCGUGAAACCCCCCACUGUAACCCCAAAGGUUGACCUCGGAUCAGGUAGGAAUACCCGCUGAACUUAAGCAUAUCAAUAAGCGGAGGA
rnacentral:misc_RNA from 1 species